ACACGUUAGCCUGUGCUCCUCCCAACCUGAGGCUAUCGGCUCCUAGGCUGCAGAGUCACCGGCAGAGGACGGGAACGCUCUCUGAAUGAAACUGAUCACAGCGAGGCAGCAGUGCCGGGAGGACCAACCCCACGUCCAAGGAGCGGUGGCUGCGCAGGCGCAAAAGGGCCUAGAGGAGCUAUUCCACGUUGAAGGUCAGGAACGGCGGCGGUGAGGAGAUACCCCUCGUCCAACGUAAGGAGCAGCGGCUGCACUUUGCUGGAGCAGCCGUGAAGAGAUACCCCACGCCCAAGGCCAAUUAUCUGGUUCCUUUAUCCACACCUGACCUACCUUGGGACACUCCCCUGGUGUGCAUACACCCCUCAGCCAAGACGGAUCUCAACGUGAAGGCUUCUGGGAGAAGAAAGACUCAUUAUGGCCUGGCGUUAUCCCUUGACCUUUGUCCCACAAGGAGUUUUUCUGCACAUGUGUAGAG
ensembl:lncRNA